GUAUGUUGAACUAAGUACGGGGGUAGUUAACAAUUAAAAUAAUUUAAGGUCAUUAUUUAGAUAUUGUCCUGUGCAAUAAAUGUGUUUAACUAAUUAAAACAUUUCGCGGCCGCCCUGCUGUUUUAAAACGUUGACCAAGAAGCAUUACGUCUUGAACACAACUCUUUCCGUAAACGUCAUCAUGGCGGGAAGUAGUUGCUGAGACAACUUCCACUGAGCAGGUUUGCUCCGCAGUUAAAUGUUCGACUUCAAGCAGUGAGUGGUUGUUAUUUAUAGAUAGCUAACUGAUGCUAACAUGUCUACAUCUUCAGUAUCAAAGGGUUGUUUUGUUUUCAAGCCAGACGUCCAGAAGAAGAAGAAAAGUUCACUCGGUUUAGAGGACUACUUUAAUCAUGGCUGUGAAGGAGCUGAGACCAAUGAAAUGCGCUUCAAACUCUUUCAUGAUCUAUGGAACAAAACAACAACAGAUACAGAGCUUUUGCAGGAGGAACUCAAUAGGCAAAUCCUGGACAACCUGCUGGACUUCACCAAGAAGUCUUACUCCACUCGUCAACAAAGCGACUGGGCCUCUCAGAUGAGGGCAAGCGAGAUUCCCACAGCAGCACUCAUGCUUGGUGUAAACGUGCCGGAUCAUGACAUGACCUUCCAGAGCCUGUCUGAGCUGCUACAGCAGUCUGUCACUCCUCAUGUAGCCUGUGUCCAGGCCAAAGAGUGUACAGCAUUGAAGCACUUGAUGAAGAGGGUCUUGGAAAGGUUGAUGGACACCGUGGUGGCUUUUGAUGAUGAAGAUGAAGACGAGGAGGCGGAGCAGAGAAGCACUCAGGCACACAAAAAUAUGCAGUGUUCCCUGAGCUCGCUCUGUGAAUGGUACAAUACGCAAACAAAGAAAUCAGACACUCCUGGGAAAAAGCGCAAGUCUCCAAGCAAAGAUCAUCAUCCUCCCAUUGUUAUUAUUUUUAAAGAUUUGGAGGCCUUCAACCACAGAGUUCUUCAGGACUUCAUACUUACCUGCAGUCGCUACAUCGAGCGGCUCCCUCUCAUGUUCAUCUUCGGCAUCGCCACAUCGCCCAGCACCAUCCAGCACAUGCUUCCCCACUCUGUGUCGUCGCUGCUGUGCAUCGAGCUCUUCCAGUCCCUGUCGUGUACUCAGCACUUGGCCACCGUCAUAGACAAGUUGAUCCUGACAACUCAUUUCCCCUUUAAGUUGACUGGCAAAGUAAUGCAAGUGCUGGUCAGCCUCUUCCUCUACCAUGAUUUCUCAGUGCGGAACUUCAUCAAGGGCUUUCAGCUGGCCCUGUUGGAGCACUUCCACUCACAGCCUCUCAGUGUGCUGUGCUGCAAGAAGAAGGAAGCUCUGAGAAACGUCACGCUGCUCAGCCACACCGACCUAGAAAGGAUCAGGAAGCUGCCAUCAUUCACAAGGUAUGUUGAGAAACAGCAAACUGAAGAGCAAGCUGAACUGUUAAAGAAUGAUGCUCACCUUAAGGAGGUUUGCCAGCAGCUGAUCAAGGACCUUGACAAAUACCACAAGAACUAUUACCCCACACUCAAGUGUCUUCACGCUUUGACCUCGUCGUUGCCUCGCUACCCCCUCGGGAAACAGAUUCGGGAGCUCCAUUUAAUUUGCUUGGAGAAAAGUGUUUGGGAGACCGAGGAUUACCAUUCAGCCUUGAAGCUGCUUAAGAUGUUGGCCAAGGAUGAGCUGAUUGCAUCGCUCCAGAGAUGCGCGGAGAUCCUGCAUCCGGUCAAGUCAAAGAAGAUGAAGAGCGCCCUAGUCCAGCUGGAAGACAUGCUCGCCAAAUUUAAGCAGUUGGAUGUUCUUGUACCGGCAGCUGCCAACGAGGUGGUUCAAUGUGAGGAAGAAACUCUCACCUCUCCUGUGAACAACCUUCAGAAAAAGACUGACCUGUUCCAGCUGCAGAAGGCCCUUCUGGAGAUGAAAGAGUCCAGAAGGUCCAAGAAGCAAAGUCCAUUUGAGAUCCUACGAAGUGAAGCACUGGAGUUUUUCGACUACCUCGUAAAGAGUCACCUGUCUCCUCCAGAAUGUCAGACGCUGCAUGAAGUUUGCUACUACAGCUCAUCAUCCACCAUCAGACGCCAUCUCAACGCGACACCUCGCAUCUCCAUUCAGGCAGCGCUCAGAAGUCCUUACUAUUAUCUUUUGAACGAGAACCUAAAAACAGAGGACGGGAGUGUCUCCAAUGCAGCGCCAGACAUCUGCCUCACGUACAAGCUGCACCUGGAGUGUGGCCGCCUGAUUAACCUCUAUGACUGGCUGCAAGCCUACGCCACUGUGGUCUCUGCUGCAGACGGCCAUGAUCCGGAUUCUGACGACUUUGGGAAAGUGGAUGACGUCAAACACGCUCGGUUCAUCCGAGCUGUGUCGGAGCUAGAAUUUUUGGGCUUUAUCAAGUCCACCAAGCAGAAGACAGACCAUGUGGCCCGACUUACGUGGGGGGGAUGCUGACUUGCAUUUCAGUGGUUCAAAUUGACAUUUUUUUGUAGUUCCCCAUUUUACCUUAUCAGCAGCAUUCAAAGUCUCUUUAAAUGUUAAUCUGUCAACAAGCCCAGGCUUUUAUGAACUGACAUGUGCUGUAGAUAUACACCAAUAACUUCAUAAAGUGACUGAAAGGUGGCCAAUGACUAGUCUUCAAUAUGUAAACAACACAAAUGUUAUGUCCUAAGAGAAUGCUAUUCAACUGGCAGGCCGGGAAUAGGAUAGACUUUAUUCAUCCCACAAUGGGGAAUUUUUGUGGUUGCAGUGCAGGUACAAAAACCCCACUUGAAAAGAAACAUUAAGGACAUAAGACAUUAAAAGAGCAGAGCUGAUGCAACUAUCUGCCAAUUCAGCUGCAUCAUUUCUACAUACAGCUACAAAAAUAAUAAAACAAAAUAGUGAUAAAUACUACAUAUUGCGCACAUACGAUAGCACCAUUCAUAGACAAACGACAAAACAAAAGCACAUUUCAACAUCACAUACUGUACACCGCGGUGGCCUCUGCAGUGCUCCACACCACCGUACACUGGGGUGGAAGGCCACACGGCCAGACAGGAACAGACCCAAAGAGGCAACCAAGAUAGCCGUCUCCGUCCUAGGCUGCCCCCGGCCAAUAUGCGGGCCACGCAGAUGAGCAACAAGACUCAAGACGCUCCACAGCUGCGUGCGUCUCUUCCUUUGGUUUCUCCAUGCGGACUCCCGUGUGGCAUAGAGCCAGCAGCUGGUCUCCGUUGCAAACAUGGCCAAAACGCUCCCCCUAGCAGAUCCAAAGGUUCAUAAAAAACAUCAAGUUCAGCUCAGAACAGGAGAGACUAACAAUGUAGUUGAAUAUCACAAGCAUGCUCUGCAGUUGACAUGUUUUUUGUCUAUUUCUACUAUCAGUGGUGCAAAUUUAGCCGUUAUACACAACACAAAUGUCAACAAGUCUUUCUUUGAAAGAUAACUAUUUAUUAUAUUGUCUACAUUUAUUAAGUACAUAAGGCCAGCUCUUAAUGUAUUUUCUGUAAAUAAAAUGGAAGCUCAUAAACAUGCUUUAAAAUUAAAAGAUCCUUUAUUGUUUUCUUCUGAUAAGUACAAUGGAUUCAAAGUGAUACAAGUAAAACAAAUCAAAAUAAAUAAAACACUGGUUGAGAGAAGGAGAAGAAAACCCCAAAAUCUAAUUAAAGUACUUAAUUAUAUAAAAAGGAGACGCAAGCGUCUGGUUUUAACGGUCAUCCACGAUUGACCAGCAAACUACGCUGCUCUGUCAUAUUUACACGUAACAAACAGAAGAGUGAGAAGCCUGGAAUGCUGGGAAAUCGUCACAAAAAGUGUGAGAAGUGUCAGCACGUGCACAUCUGGGACACGGACCAACCACAGGUGGAGGGAGACUGGGGGGGUGGUCCGCUUACAUCGGGAAGCACCGGGUUGUUUACAACCAUUUGCCCAACCACAGAAAUAUGGCACAGUAAGAAAGAAGUUUCAUUUAAACUAGCUAUAAACUGAAACUUGUCACGUCAACGAUGAGCUUUGAGUGUUUUUUUCCCCCCCUUCCCGGAGAUGUCACAGGAUCUGUGCGCUCAGGAAACAUCUGGAGAAGAAAGGCCGAUGAAAUAACAGUUAAGAAAGCAGAUGUGUAACUUUAAACUUUCCCCUGCGGGACUGGAAUGUGGGAAUCUUAUGGAGCCAGAGAGAUACGACUUACAGCUUGCAGGUUGUUCGCCGAAUCGACGCAUUAGCUGGUCGUGCGUGAACUUCACAAAAGUGUCGUAUUGUUCUGCAAGAACAAGCACUUUUAUUAGAAAUAAACAAACCCCUAAUGAUAACUUAAUGAACAAUGAUUGAAAUGCAGAAUAAUAACAGUCGUCACAGCAGCAACUCCCAGACCUUGCAAGUAUUCCUCUUGUGAGCAGCAUUAGGGAUGACUUCAACAUUAUUGCGACGCUACCAACCUGCCAGUUUGGAAGUCAUGGUCUCCUCAUACUCCUCCCGGACCUUCUCUUCCCUUUCUUUCAGCAAGCGUUCACAGAUCAUCCCGACUUGUUUGAGGGUAAAUAGCGGCUGCUCUUUCCUCGACGGAGAACUGCCUCCAGAGGACGUCGCUGCAAAUGACAAACAAGCAUCAUUAUUAUUUCAAGAAUACCUGAUGAACAAAAGCAUCACAAAUGGACCACAACAGCCUUCAAUCUCGCAGUUCCUGGACAAUCGUGUCGGGCAUUACAGUAUGACUCAUCCACAGCAGAAAGCUAUCACCAAUGCAAUACUGUCUGACUUGAUUAUUGAUUGCAACUUGCCCCCGUCUAUUGUGGAAAACAAGAGUUUUCACCACUUUCUGACAGUACUUGACAGCAAGUACACCCCAGUGUGUCGCAGAACACUGACAUCAAAAACAGAGAACCUCACUGAAGAAAGACGAUCAAAAUUAAAAACUCAAUUGAGCCACACUGACCAUGUUUCAGUGACUGUCGACAUUUGGUCUGACCGAAAGAUGAGGGGAUUCCUCGGUGUCACUGUGCACUGGAUGGACAAAGGCAGAGAGGAUACAGCUCAAGUCCAAUCUCUUGGCUUGUGAGCGCUUCAAAGGCUCACAUACAGCUGAACGAAUCUGUGACAAAUUUGAGGCUAUAUGUGAUGAAUACAACAUUAAAGCUAAACUGGACUACAUUAUUAGUGACAAUGCUGCUAACAUGCGAAAAGCAUUCACUGUGUGCUUCCCCAGUGAACAAGAGGAUGACGAUGAUGGAGAUCAUCUGGAUGACCCUGAGCUCUGGUGUGAUUUAACCGUGGAAGAUCAGCAAACGGUAGAUGUUGCUAUGGCAAAGAAAAAGCGCUUGCACUGUUUAGCACACACUCUUCAGCUGGUGGUGGGAGAUGGUUUGAAAGAAACAAAAGUGGUAUCUCCUUCUCUUUCGAAGUUAUCUAAACUCAGCUCACUGCUGCACACAAGCACAACAUUCAAAGAUGUGUUUGAUGCUGAAUUUGGGGAACAGAAAGGCAUCCCUGCUGCAGUCAACACAAGAUGGAACUCAACACUGAGGCAAGCGAAGGCUGUUCUCCAGUGCAAUCAUGUAAGGCUCUGUGCUGUUCUAGAAAAGGCUGGGCACAGGGAGUUGUCAUUCACAGCACGGGAGUGGAAUCUGUUGAAAGAUUUGGUGGACAUCUUGAAGCCAUUUGGAGAAGCAACUGAUUUGACACAGGGGGAAAAGGUCAUCACAAUCAGUGCUGUUGUUCCAUCCAUCUUGUCCCUCAACCACCACCUUGAGAAACUGAAGCCUCUGGUCUGUUUUCUGAGCGGCCUGGUCAGAAGUCUCCAGACAUCCCUGAACAAAAGAUUUCUUGGAAUCUUCAUCAAUGUGAAAAUGGCCAGGACACAAGAUGGGAUCACUGCUCCCUUUUCAGAUCCAGUCUACCUCAAAGCAGCUGUCUUGGAUCCAGCCUUUUCUCUGUUGUGGGUGGAGCCCCAUGUGCUGGUCAGUCGUGAUGUCAAGGCAGAGGUGGCACAACAGGUUAAAGAAUUGAUCCUGCAAGAUGCUGCAGAGACUGAGCAACCUGCGCCUCUUGUUGAUGAAAAAGAGCAAGGGGACCUUGGAGAAGGAGAAGGGCUGUUUGCUGCUUACCACAAGAGACAGAAGAAGGAUGUUGGGACUACUCCAGCACUACAGCUAAGUCACUACCUUGACAUAGCUGAAGGACAGAAUGCCCUUUUGUUCUGGGCAUUGAACAUGAAGACUCUUCCUUCACUGUUCCGAGUGGCCAUGAGAGUCUUGGCAGUGCCUGCCUCCAGUGCUCCAGUGGAGCGAGUUUUCAGCCAUGGUGGCAUCAUACUACGCCCCCAUCGUGCACAAAUGACUGACAGACUCUUGGCCAGUUUGGUCUUUUGCAAAUGCAAUGCAGCAUAUGGCCCUGACAUAUAAAAAGUACAACCUUUUUGUUAUGUUAUAUGUCAUGUUUUUUCAAUGUUAACACUUUUGUACAAAUAAGUACAGUUGCACUUUAUUUUUCAAAUGUGUUUAUUCUGUAAAGGAAUGAGUCAAAUGUUUAAAAUGACUGGUUAAUAGUGCUAUUAUAAAGUGCAAUGUCAGCACAAUUUUCUUUCCUGCAAUUUAAAAUGCACUUGUUUUAAUAAAUAAAUACAGCAUUUGAAAAACAUACACAAUCUGUGUUAAUAUAUUAGUCUGUAGUUAAAAGGACUUGAAAGGACUCGAAACUCAAAAUGCAGGACUUGGGACUUGACUUGAGACUUUCCAGUCUUGACUUUGGACUUGACUCGGGACUUGCCUGUCUUGACUCGAGACUUGACUCGGACUUGAGGGCAAAGACUUGAGACUUACUUGUGACUUGCAAAACAAUGACUUGGUCCCACCUCUGGUCUGAACGCACUGUGUCGGCGGAGAAUGACCAAGUAUUGUGUGUCUGAGUGAAGCACGGAGGCAGACAUGUGUGCACGGAGGAAAUACUUGUUGGAAUUGGGCCCAUUGUUAGCAUAACAUCGGCCAUAAAAGCUAAAAACAGUGUCAGACUUUGUUUUCUCCUGGAUGCUACAAUACAUUACUUUAUUUUGUUAUGUAUGGCAGUUAAUUUGAAGCCGUACAUUAAGGAGAAACCCUAAACAUAGUUAAACCGGAUGUAUAGCGUAGCACUUUUAUUUUGAAGCCAGAAAAGUGUGUGAUUGGUUUGAGA